UUACGGGAGGCAGCAGUGGGGAAUAUUGGGCAAUGGGGGAAACCCUGACCCAGCAACGCCGCGUGAAGGACGAAGGCCUUCGGGUUGUAAACUUCUUUGAUCAGGGACGAAAGAAAUGACGGUACCUGAAGAACAAGCCACGGCUAACUACGUGCCAGCAGCCGCGGUAAUACGUAGGUGGCGAGCGUUAUCCGGAUUUACUGGGUGUAAAGGGCGUGCAGGCGGGUCCGCAAGUCGGGUGUGAAAUAUCCGGGCUUAACCCGGACAGGUCAUUCGAAACUGCGGAUCUUGAGUACUGGAGAGGAUAGUGGAAUUCCUAGUGUAGCGGUAAAAUGCGUAGAUAUUAGGAGGAACACCAGUGGCGAAGGCGGCUAUCUGGACAGUAACUGACGCUGAGGCGCGAAAGCGUGGGGAGCAAACAGGAUUAGAUACCCGUGUAGUCA
rnacentral:rRNA from 1 species